rnacentral:rRNA from 1 species
GCGUGAGUGAUGAAGGCCUUAGGGUUGUAAAGCUCUUUUACCUGGGAUGAUAAUGACAGUACCAGGAGAAUAAGCCCCGGCUAACUCCGUGCCAGCAGCCGCGGUAAUACGGAGGGGGCUAGCGUUGUUCGGAAAUACUGGGCGUAAAGCGCACGUAGGCGGCUCAGCAAGUCAGGGGUGAAAUCCCGGGGCUCAACCCCGGAACUGCCCUUGAAACUGCUAGGCUAGAAUCUUGGAGAGGCGAGUGGAAUUCCGAGUGUAGAGGUGAAAUUCGU